AGUGAACGCUGGCGGUAGGCCUAACACAUGCAAGUCGAACGGCAGCACAGUAAGAGCUUGCUCUUACGGGUUGCGAGUCGCGGACGGGUGAGGAAUAUAUCGGAAUCUACUUUUUCGUGGGGGUUAACGUAGGGAAACUUACGCUAAUACCGCAUACGACCUACGGGUGAAAGCAGGGGAUCUUCUGACCUUGCGCGAUUGAAUGCGCCGAUGUCGGAUUAGCUAGUUGGCGGGGUAAAGGCCCACCAAGGCGACGAUCGGCAGCUGGUCUGAGAGGCGGGUAGGCCACCUUGGAGCUGGGACAGGGUCAAGACUCCUACGGGAGGGAGCAGUGGGGAAUAUUGGGCAAUGGGCGCAAGCCUGAUCCAGCCAUACCGCGUGGGUGAAGAAGGCGUUCGGGUUGUAAAGACCUUUUGUUGGGAGAGAAAAGCAGCAGGUUAAUACCACGCUGUUCUGACGGUAACCAAAGAAUAAGCACCGGCUAACUUCGUG
rnacentral:rRNA from 1 species